GUGGGGAAUAUUGGGCAAUGGGCGAAAGCCUGACCCAGCAACGCCGCGUGAAGGAAGAAGGCCCUCGGGUUGUAAACUUCUUUGACCAGGGACGAAAGAAAUGACGGUACCUGGAAAACAAGCCACGGCUAACUACGUGCCAGCAGCCGCGGUAAUACGUAGGUGGCGAGCGUUGUCCGGAUUUACUGGGUGUAAAGGGCGUGCAGGCGGGAAUGCAAGUCAGGCGUGAAAACUAUGGGCUCAACCCAUAGCCUGCGUUUGAAACUGUGUUUCUUGAGUGAUGGAGAGGCAGGCGGAAUUCCUCGUGUAGCGGUGAAAUGCAUAGAUAUGAGGAGGAACACCAGUGGCGAAGGCGGCCUGCUGGACAUUAACUGACGCUGAGGCGCGAAAGCGUGGGGAGCAAACAGGAUUAGAUACCCCUGUAGUCC
rnacentral:rRNA from 1 species